UAGUUACCGCCAUAGUUAUUUUGGGUGCCAGGGUACGUAGGAUAGGUUGGGAGGUUCGUCUGCACUCGGGGUGCUUGGCCCCCAAACGGUUUUGCAGAACGGUUAUAGGAACUGCCAAUAUUGUUUGACUCCUUAAAAAGACCUGAAACAAACAACGGCUCCACUCACAUCUUGGUGAUCCCUGGCCAGGGAUGUUUUCUGUGUGGUGAACACCUGGUCUCCAGUGGCCGUGUGGAUCGGUUGAGGUUUCUCUGUCGGCUUCAACUCAGACAUCGGUGUCACCUUCGGACGCCAGAUCUGAACUGCCCCCCUGAAAAACAACUAAGUAGUGGGAGGAAGCAGGAAUUCCUGAGUCGACAUUAUCACACAGUUCUUGGCACCAGUUGUAUGCAGGCACACAAACAAUGUGGGCGGAAGAUUGAGGAUAGCCCCCCUUCACUUGGAGGAAGACAGAGAGUGAUUGUGCAGCCCAGGGACAUAUCCAGAACAGUCUUGAUAGUUCCAUGCUACAUCUCAACCGCUAUAUUGCAAAUGAUGUAGAUAAAAGUUUAAAUGAUAACAUAGGCUCCAUGUCAAACACAACCUAAAAAUGUUACACAUUCGAUUCAGUUUUUCGAUGUACAAAUCUUUAAUACAUUAAUGUUACACUCUUUAAAAUUAACAAUGUUAAUAUAGUUACUUGAAAGCAUUGCUUUUAACUCAGAGAUACCUCUUUUUUAAAUAUGUAAAGGUUUGUCAUUUGGUGUUAUUACACAAAUAUCAGUGUUUAAAGUGUGAAGUGUAAAAACCCUUGUUUAUGUUGGAAAGCCGAUUGUCCACAUGGAAUAUAUUUAACCGUUAGCUUGCUACCAACAUGGUUUACCUACUGGAUACUUUAACCCGUUUAUGCCUAGUGGACUUUCCCAUCCUUCUAAAUUGGAUCAAUUUAUUCCCAAAAUUAGGGAUGUCUAGUACAUUUAUUUCUAUAUUUAGAAUAUUUUUUACAGAAAUUCCUUUAAACCAACAGCGCAGACCCUGAUGAGAUGCUGAAUCAUGCAGCGUCUCAUUUGGGUCUACGCUGUUUGCCAAGGCCUUUUUUCUAGACGCUAGGCAUAAAUGGGUUAAAAGGCAUCAUAGGCAAUUGUGUGUUUACAAACCCUGUGAUCAAUUAUGACCAAACUAUUAUUUUGUGAAAUAAUUGUAUGGCAGAAUAGUGUAUUUGGGUCGGUAAGAUAUCCACUAUUUCAUGGACUGGGGCUUUAAAUAACUACACUAUAAAUGAGACACUAUGACUUGUACAUAAUUACACUAUGACUUGUACAUAAUUUCACUAUGACUUGCACAUAAUAACACUAUGGCUUGUACAUAACUACACUAAGACUUGUACAUAAUUAUCUGAUUCAUAUGAAUGGGUCAUAACUAGUCUACUAUAAUGACUGGACCAUAACUACACUAUGAAUAGGUAAUAACUACACUAUGAAUUGACCAUAACUACAUUAUGAAUGGAUAAUAACUGCACUAUGAAUUAACCAUAACUACACUAUGAAUGGAUAAUAACUACAAUAUGAAUUGACCAUAACUACACUAUGACUGGGUAAUAACUACAAUAUGAAUUGACCAUAACUACACUAUGAAUGGAUAAUAACUACACUAUGAAUCGACCAUAACUACACUAUUACUUGGUAAUAACUACACUAUGAAUCGACCAUAACUACACUAUGAAUGGAUAAUAACUGCACUAUGAAUCAACCAUAACUACACUAUGAAUGGAUAAUAACUACACUAUGAAUUGAU